AUAUUAGAUAUGGCAGUGCCCCCCUGCUUUUGCUUUUCAAGGUUGAGGUGUAGAACAACUGGACAUUUGUGACCCGUAACAAGUGUCUCUAGGUAACUAAAUUUGUGAAUCUUCAAUUUGGAUGAAUACAGUAUAUAAAAUUGACUGGCCAUAAAAUGGAAUUUGCAACCCAUUUGAUUUAUGAAUUUAAGCUCCAAACCUGCAAAGAUCUAUACAACCAAGGACCGUCAAACCGAAACUAGACCCCGUGCUGGCCAGCCGACAGUACGAUUUGGUACAGAUCCAUAUCGGUCUGUGCCGGGCCAAACCAAUAUGGCAAAAAAGGGGGGAGAUAAAGAGAGAGAAGAAAGAUAGGAAGAGAGAACGGGGGAGGGAGAAGGAGAGGGAGAGGGCCGUCAGAGGCUGCCGGAGGCCAUCUGAGUUCUUGCCGAGCUCGAUAAAAAUGGAGGAAGGAAAGAAAAGAGAGGGGGAGGUCCUUACCAAGUGUCCAGAGAGUGUUGGAGACCAUUGGACGAACGGCGACGCCACCGUGACAUCUCCGACAGUCGGCAAGCCUACUCCAAGGGGCCUGAGAGCGACCGAGGCCGAAGGAGGGCCUCCACCCUCCUCCAGUGCGAAACAAGAAUUCGCCCUUGUUUCGCCUUUUUUUGGGUUUGAUCGCGCAAAGUUGGCAAUUCACUUAUUUUGUUGGUUGCCGACUCCAACCGAAAUGAUAAAAAAAAUAAAGUAGACAAAGUCAACAACUUAGUUGCCUAUUUCGCACGAUAAAACCUAAAAAAAAAGACAAAACAUGGGCGAACCCCUAUUUCGCACUGGAGGAGGGCAGAGGCCCUCCUCUGCCCUCGACCACUCUCAGGCCCCUCGACACAGGCCCGAACAGCCUCCGACGGCCCUCUUUUCCUCUCCCUCUCGUUCUGCCCUUCCCCCCUCCCUCCUCUCUUUCUUCUCUCUCCCUCCAAGACGGCCGCUGUGCCAUUUUGUACGUGAGAACCAGACCGGUUUUCCACCAGUACUAUUCGAUGAAUGAUGUAUAUGACGAAUAUCUAAUUGUAGUCUUUCAGUCUCUAUACACUGUAAUUAAUAAUAUUGGUCCUUGGUACUUGAUAUGAUGACAAUCAUCAUUCUUCAUAUCCCUAUGCAGCUUUAUAUUUGUGCAUUUAACUCUUCCAUAUAUUUAUCAAGUUAUGUAUUAGAUAGAUUGUUAUUUAAUAACUGAAUAACAUGUUGCAGUUUUUGAUUCAUGUGCCAUAUGAUUCCUUGAUAUCCUCAUUGGUUUUUAAUAUAAUAAUAAAAUUAUACAAACAUACAGUUCUUAGUAACAAAAACUAAUGUUAAACCAUCGA
rnacentral:lncRNA from 1 species